UCGAAGCCUGUUCUUGAAGUUGG
rnacentral:piRNA from 1 species